rnacentral:rRNA from 1 species
CGAUUUCCCUUCCUAAUCCAUGGACAAUUUUUUCUAGAAAUAUGAACUUAUUUUGUUUUUCCAUUGAAGCGUCUAAUUUUCCUGGAAUAUUUAUUUAUUGAAAUAACUAACUAAAUCAUAUAUGGAAGUACUUGAGUGGUACAUUGAGUAUAUGCUAAUGAUUUGACCAACUUUGCUCUAUUAGUGUGUAAUUCAAAAUUGAUACUUCUCAUUUGAAAGUUUUUAGUUGUAAUUAUGAUUUGUACUCCAUUAUCAAUAUGCUAAUGGAAUUAUUGAUCAAAGUUUAUUAAUAGUAUGAGCAUUGUCCAAAAACAUUUUUUAGGCAGUAGUAAGGCUCGAGCUCACUAACACCGGCUUUUGUGACAUUCUCUUGCCCCUUCCACAAGCAAGUCCCACGUUAGGGUUUCCCUGCCUCCCGUCAGCGCCGUCGUCGAUCUGUCUCGCCAUGGAGGUGUGUUUGCCUUCGACGCGUGUUCUGGGGGGGGGGGGCAACCGUCACACUUGUGAAUCCCGGCCCAUGACAUGGGAGGGCCACUGCUUCAUUUUCAUGUGUUUUUUGAGUUUGUUAUGGGUCUAUGUCAAAGGCAAACACAUGUCGAACACACGUCUAUGUUCCUUUGGGGUCACCCGUCCCUCAUGAAAACUGAACACAAGUGUACAAUGGACACACAGGUUUGAUAUCCCAAAAAUCAAGAACUUUUCGAAUUUUUGGUAUAUUUUUAAUACUACAUUCAUAUAGGGGUGUGUGGCACCCAAGAGCCACAAAUCCUCGUCCAUACGCAUAGUAACAUGUUCAGAUAUAUGUAUUACCAUGAAAGGUACACACAAUAACAUUGAUACUACAAACAAGCAAAACAAAAAAGAAACGCGAAGUACACACUCAAUGCAAAAAGGUGCACACAAUUAUAUAUGAUAAGUACACACAUGGUAGUAUGGAACUACACAUGCACUAACAUGAGAAAAACACAUGCUAACACUAGGAAGUGCACACUAAUGUAAAAAGUGUACACUAACAUGAAAGUACAUACAUGAUAACAUGAAAUAUAUACUAAUGCAAAAAGUGGACUCACCAACAUGAGAAGUACAUUUGUGCGCCAAAUAAAAUCACCGAAAGCUAUUAACAAGGGUUCCAAUCUCCGGCAUAUUUACACGACACAAUGAUAAAAAACCAUUGGCUAGGUAUUAAAGGAAAACCAUUGGCUAUUUUAAACUCUUGGUUUAUAUACACACAAAAUUGAUAAAAUCCUAAAAUAAUUCUAGAAAAUUACGAAAACACUGAUGCCAAGCCAGGUUCUUGUUAACCAAUCUUUUUUUUUAGUUUUUUUUUGUAGAACUACCUUUCCAGCGUAACAUUUUGUUAGUUUUUUAGAGAUACCAAUCUCACAUGGGGAGCGCUACGCGUCUACCGGCAAAUGUUUAGUAAACAUCCACCACCUCGACAACUGUCGGAUCUUCGCGCGGGAGCCGUUCGAUCAAGUUCCUCGCACGCGGCUCAUCGGUGUCCCGACACACUAAUUCCUGAAACAACGGCUGCGUUGCAGAAACAACUACCAUGUUGCAAAAAUUUGGAGAUUGCGGAGACAAUUCUGAAACAACGACCGUGUUGCAGAAACAAUUCCUGAAACAAUGGCUGCGUUGCAAAAACAACUACCAUGUUGCAGAAAACUUUGAAGAUCCACCCUCGAACACCCGCACACGAAAGCGGCGGUGCCUCCAGCAUCUCUUCAGAAAAGCUCGGCUGUGGGUGUCUCCAACAUCUCCGAGCAGGUCCCUGAUUGUGUGCGUAAUGGAGAAGGAUGGGUCGCUGAGGAAGGAAGAAAGAAGCAAAAGAAAACAAAAGAUGUGGAUGGGAGCAGUCGGACGAGAAGAUAAGGCAGGAUGCAAAGCGGUGCACACCCACUGGGACAUGCGUCGCCCGUGGAAGACGGCGGACGAGUGAGAGAAAAUCCGCCGGUUGACACCAAGCGUUUUCCAUCUCACAUUUUGUUAGUAAUAUAAUUGGGUUUUGAUCUGAUUUAUAUUCUACAUGUGGGCCUGAACUUUGAAGAUGGGCUGCGCCAUUCCUUAAUGGGCCAGAGCUCGUUCAUUGUGGUUUUCGGAGCUUGAGAAGUGUUGGCUUUUCGCACAAAGAAGAAAUUGUUGCUCCACAGAAACACCUUCUGCGAGCAGAACAUACAGCAAAAAGAUACUACCACAGGAUCAAGCUUCUGACGCGUGUCUCUCUACAUAUUGAUUCAAAAGUACUCCUUCUAAGUAGUAUCUUUUAAAAUACUGGAGUAAGUCAUUAAUUUACCAAAAAGUAGCAAGAACUGAAAUUUGGCAAUCUAGCUCUCGCACUUGAAUCCUACUACCCCUAGCAUCAGCGGAAAAGAGCCUCUAAAGAGAAACCGAUUCGAACUAAGCAGCAGAGAACAAUGAAACUACACAAACUGAAGCAGAAGCUCAGGUGAGCUCUGAAACUACAUGAACUUUACCAAGUAGAACAAGUAAGGGAGUGGAAUAAAAGAAACCAGACUACUCACAGGUAAAAGCAACAAGGCUUCAAGUAGCGUCCGGAGGCUGCAAAUCUGCACCGGAGAAGAGUGGAGAGUGGUCGCACAACCAGAGCAACCGAACAUAGUGAAUCGGAAACUGGUAACGAUCCAGUAGUAAAGCAAAGAGUGGUAGCUGGGACCUGGGAAUAUGCUACUGGGAUGUGCGG